UACUUAGUAGAGCAGUGGUUAGCGUUUCAUCCUCUGAAUUGGAGUGCUUGGGUUCAAGUCCUCCCCAAGUAA